AUUGAACGCUGGCGGCAGGCCUAACACAUGCAAGUCGAACGGUAACAGGAAGAAGCUUGCUUCUUUGCUGACGAGUGGCGGACGGGUGAGUAAUGUCUGGGAAACUGCCUGAUGGAGGGGGAUAACUACUGGAAACGGUAGCUAAUACCGCAUAACGUCGCAAGACCAAAGAGGGGGACCUUCGGGCCUCUUGCCAUCGGAUGUGCCCAGAUGGGAUUAGCUAGUAGGUGGGGUAACGGCUCACCUAGGCGACGAUCCCUAGCUGGUCUGAGAGGAUUACCAGCCACACUGGAACUGAGACACGGUCCAGACUCCUACGGGAGGCAGCAGUGGGGAAUAUUGCACAAUGGGCGCAAGCCUGAUGCAGCCAUGCCGCGUGUAUGAAGAAGGCCUUCUGGUUGUAAAGUACUUUCAGCGGGGAGGAAGGGAGUAAAGUUAAUACCUUUGCUCAUUGACGUUACCCGCAGAAGAAGCACCGGCUAACUCCGUG
rnacentral:rRNA from 1 species